rnacentral:rRNA from 1 species
UACGGGGGGGGGCAAGCGUUGUUCGGAAUUACUGGGCGUAAAGGGCUCGUAGGCGGCCAACUAAGUCGGAUGUGAAAUCCCCCAGGCUUAACCUGGGAACUGCAUCCGAUACUGGAUGGCUUGAAUCCGGGAGAGGGAUGCAGAAUUCCAGGUGUAGCGGUGAAAUGCGUAGGUAUCUGGAGGAAUACCGGUGGCGAAGGCGGCAUCCUGGACCGGCAUUGACGU